NUUUCCGUGAAUCAUCGAAUCUUUGAACGCACCUUGCGCUCCUUGGUAUUCCGAGGAGCAUGCCUGUUUGAGUGUCAU
rnacentral:rRNA from 1 species